AGGAUGGCAAAACAGAAGAGAAAAGUUCCUGAAGUGACAGAGAAAAAGAACAAAAAGCUGAAGAAGGCAUCAGCAGAGGGGCCACUGCUGGGCCCUGAGGCUGCACCAAGUGGCGAAGGAGCCGGCUCCAAGGAACCACGCAGGAAUGGGGGGCCUCAGGGGCCACGCGUGUCGGCUGGAUUCCCAAGGUGAUCUUCAGGCUGGUGGUUUUCAGCCUGUUGGGAUUAGGACCACUUGAAGAGUCUUAAUUCUUUUAUUGGAUUAAGGGAGAAGCUGUGCUCAGGCCUGGGCUGGACGCAGAGCCAGAGCGGUCCCCAGAGGAGCAGAGGGUCCUGGAAAGGAAGCUGAAAAAGGAACGGAAGAAAGAGGAGAGGCAGCGUCUGCGGGAGGCAGGCCUUGUGGCCCAGCACCCGCCUGCCAGGCGCUCGGGGGCCGAACUGGCCCUGGACUACCUCUGCGGAUGGGCCCAAAAGCACAAGAACUGGAGGUUUCAGAAGACGAGGCAGACGUGGCUCCUGCUGCACAUGUAUGACAGUGACAAGGUUCCCGAUGAGCACUUCUCCACCCUGCUGGCCUACCUGGAGGGGCUGCAGGGCCGGGCCCGAGAGCUGACGGUGCAGAAGGCGGAAGCCCUGAUGCGGGAGCUGGAUGAGGAGGGCUCUGAUCCCCCCCUGCCGGGGAGGGCCCAGCGCAUCCGACAGGUGCUGCAGCUGCUCUCCUAGUGGGUUCAGCGCGGGGUGGGGCCGCUGCCCAGUGCAGGGCUGCCUCAGACCACACAGGGUGCAGCUCCUCCGGCGGUGGGGGCCGGGAUCACCAGCAGGGCAGCGGCUGAGCAAGGGCUUUCAGCUCCUCC
rnacentral:sRNA from 1 species